GAACGGCAGCACGGACUUCGGUCUGGUGGCGAGUGGCGAACGGGUGAGUAAUACAUCGGAACAUGUCCUGUAGUGGGGGAUAGCCCGGCGAAAGCCGGAUUAAUACCGCAUACGAUCUACGGACGAAAGCGGGGGACCUUCGGGCCUCGCGCUAUAGGGUUGGCCGAUGGCUGAUUAGCUAGUUGGUGGGGUAAAGGCCUACCAAGGCGACGAUCUGUAGCUGGUCUGAGAGGACGACCAGCCACACUGGGACUGAGACACGGCCCAGACUCCUACGGGAGGCAGCAGUGGGGAAUUUUGGACAAUGGGGGAAACCCUGAUCCAGCCAUGCCGCGUGCGGGAAGAAGGCCUUCGGGUUGUAAACCGCUUUCGGCCGGGACGAAAUCGCAUCGAUGAAUAAUCGGUGUGGAUGACGGUACCGGAAGAAGAAGCACCGGCUAACUACGUG
rnacentral:rRNA from 1 species